UUUAUUUCUCUUUUCUUUACUAUAACUUCUUUACUCACUCUUUCUCACAAAGUUAAUACUCUUUCUUUAAACACUAUCUUUACUUCUCCCAAAAUUAAUACUCUUUCUUAACUUCUCAAAUGAAAUACUCUUUCUUUUCUUAAAGUGAAUAUUCUAUCUUUUCUUCUCCCCCUUUAUAUACUCUUUCUUCUCUUCUCCUUUAUAUACUCUUUCCUUCUCUUCUCUCCCUUUUUGUUAUCAUCAAAAACAUAUAUAUGGGAAAAGAUGCAAUUAAGAACAAACUUCAGACUUCAUUGAUCACAAUAGGAACAUUUUCAUACAUUAAUGCCCAAAAUAAAGAUAAGUAC
rnacentral:lncRNA from 1 species